rnacentral:rRNA from 1 species
ACGCUGGCGGUAGGCCUAACACAUGCAAGUCGAACGGCAGCACAGUAAGAGCUUGCUCUUAUGGGUGGCGAGUGGCGGACGGGUGAGGAAUACAUCGGAAUCUACUUUUUCGUGGGGGAUAACGUAGGGAAACUUACGCUAAUACCGCAUACGACCUACGGGUGAAAGCAGGGGAUCUUCGGACCUUGCGCGAUUGAAUGAGCCGAUGUCGGAUUAGCUAGUUGGCGGGGUAAAGGCCCACCAAGGCGACGAUCCGUAGCUGGUCUGAGAGGAUGAUCAGCCACACUGGAACUGAGACACGGUCCAGACUCCUACGGGAGGCAGCAGUGGGGAAUAUUGGACAAUGGGCGCAAGCCUGAUCCAGCCAUACCGCGUGGGUGAAGAAGGCCUCCGGGUUGUAAAGCCCUUUUGUUGGGAAAGAAAUCCAGCCGGCUAAUACCUGGUUGGGAUGACGGUACCCAAAGAAUAAGCACCGGCUAACUUCGUGCCAGCAGCCGCGGUAAUACGAAGGGUGCAAGCGUUACUCGGAAUUACUGGGCGUAAAGCGUGCGUAGGUGGUUGUUUAAGUCUGUUGUGAAAGCCCUGGGCUCAACCUGGGAACUGCAGUGGAAACUGGACAACUAGAGUGUGGUAGAGGGUAGCGGAAUUCCCGGUGUAGCAGUGAAAUGCGUAGAGAUCGGGAGGAACAUCCAUGGCGAAGGCAGCUACCUGGACCAACACUGACACUGAGGCACGAAAGCGUGGGGAGCAAAC